ACAGCAGUAGCCGCGGUAAUACGGAGGAUCCAAGCGUUAUCCGGAAUCAUUGGGUUUAAAGGGUCCGUAGGCGGUCUUGUAAGUCAGUGGUGAAAGCCCAUCGCUCAACGGUGGAACGGCCAUUGAUACUGCAGGACUUGAAUUAUUGGGAAGUAACUAGAAUAUGUAGUGUAGCGGUGAAAUGCUUAGAGAUUACAUGGAAUACCAAUUGCGAAGGCAGGUUACUACCAAUUGAUUGACGCUGAUGGACGAAAGCGUGGGUAGCGAACAGGAUUAGAUACCCCGGUAGUCCCUGUCUCUUAUAA
rnacentral:rRNA from 1 species